rnacentral:lncRNA from 1 species
AAAAAAUUAUUGAAAAAAAAAAAAAGAAACAGCCAGAGGCCCAGGGGAGCUGGGAAAGAGCAGGAUGGGGGCUGCUUCCUGGGUGGAGCCCUCGGUUGCACAAAUGGGUUCUGAGAAGUGCUUCCUGCCCCUGGGCUUGUGCAUGGCAUGGCUGUGUGUGGGGACAGGCAGACAUUCUCACAUGCCAAGGGAAGCUGAAAAGGAAAAGGACUUUGGGUUGCAUUAAUAGAAAUAUAUGUACCAAAAUAGAGCAGAUGACCCAAGGUUCUGCUGAUCUUUGUGGUGGCUGGACCACAAUGUCAGAAUUUCAGCUUAGGGGGGCUUGCAACCAAGUGUCCAAUUUUCCUAGAAUUUAUCUUUACCUUUCUUCUUUUUCCCUGUAUGUUCACCUCUUAGCUCUUCAGGAAUGCAAUUGUAACGUUUACCUCCUCUCCACCAGGCGCUCUCUGCACUGCAAGCGUAUCUAACUAUAGUUCGAUUUGCUUAGAAAUUCUCAGGACAAAAUGUUGAACCAAACCAGGCACCCUCCGGGAUUCUCCCCCACCAGGAGAUUGGCUCGAGACAACAGUUUACAGCUUAGCUCUGUCCACCAUGGCGUCCUCCAGACUACCCAACUGAGAAGACACAGAAGCAAGUCAGGUGGACCCCGCACCUCCUCACCCCCUCCCCUGCAUGCUUUUCACACCAAGUUCCCUUUUAAAGACUCCACUUUCCUCCCCAAAAGCUGAAGCAAUUCCCUUAAGUCAGGAGCCUGUAUGUUUCCCCUUAACCAAGCUCUGGAAUGAAGUCCCUUUCUUUCUACCAGACCUCUCUCUGUUCAUUGGAUUCUGCAAGAGGCUGGACAUGGGUUCAGUUACGGCCUGACUCAAGAGCCCGUCUCCAACCUCCAUGCUGCACAGGAAGGGAAGAAUGUGACAUGGACUCAUUCUCAACCCAGGACCUGGUGACAAUUCAGUCUAUGGCCUUGGAGACCCUGUCUGCAGGCACGGACGGUGCCAUUAGGCUGGAAAAGGUUGGAACAGAGGGAACCCAGGGGCUGAGGGAAGAAGGACAAAGUCAGGAGGCUUGGAGAGGAGGUCCAGGUGAUGGUCGAGGCCUCUGCUUGGUUUCCCCAGGAAUGGUGACUCUGGGCAGAUGGAACAGCCUCAGCCAAGGCCAUUCAGAGGAUCACAAGGAGCAUGGCUGUCGCGGCACAAGAUGCUCCCGGCAGGGUACAGGGACAUCAAGGAACCUAUUUGGGGCAAGAUGGCCAUCCCAAGGAACGCUACCUCAAUACGGAGAAAGAGACUCUGCUGACACGAUAGAGUUGAGGGUUUUGGCAGAGGGAGAUGAGGCUGGAUUAACUGGCUAGGCCUGAUGCCAUCACAGGGUCCUAAGUGAGAAAGGCAGGAGGCUCAGAGUCAGCAGAGGGGAUGUGGCCACGGGAGCAGAGGUCGGAGAGAUGUCCUUGCAUCUGGAAGGGGCCAAAAGCCGAGGAAUGUGGGUGCCUCUGGGAACUGGAGCAGGCAAGGAAAUGGACUCACCCCCGCAGCCUCCAGCAGGGCCCCGUGCUGCUGAUGCCUUGACAUGAGGUGUUCAUGAGUCUCCUUUCCAACUGCUGUCCUCCGGAUCUGUACAAGACUAAAUCUAUGUUGUUUUAAGCUACUGCAUUUAUGAUAGUUUAUUACAGCAGCUACGGGACACUCAUAUAAUACCCAAGAGAGAUGUGUGCAUUCAUUUCACCAGGAGACCUGGAUGCGAAGGUUCACAGCAGCUUUACUGAUGACGGUUAGAAGGUGGAAAUAACUGAAGUUUCCUCAAAAGGUGAUGGAGGAACAUGGCGUGGUACGUCCACACGAUGCAAUGGGCACAGAUCCAGGCUGAUAACUAUCACUGGGCACAGAUCCAGGCUGGGGCCAAGAUGGGAACCUUUAUCUUUUGCUUCCUGGCCAGAGUGCUCUGCCCCAGCACCUGCCUUGUCAAAGCCCUGGUGGACCCGUGGGAUCGCCCAGUUCUUGCACCUUCACUGGGAGGAAAGCAGAGACGAUGACUCCAUUUUACAGUUGGGUAAAGUGAGGCUCAGGGCCAUGCUGCCCAGGGAGGAGCUGAAGAGAGACCCGAGGCCUGCUGGGGACCAGAUCUUCUCAAUGGUGGUUCCUUUUGGUAUCCUCUCUACAAGCCCAGUGCAGAGCCUGGCACGUGGGAGAGCUUUAUGGGAGUUUGCUGAAUAAAUGGCAGAGAGCAGGUGUGGUGUGAGCUCUGGUGGCUGGACUCACCUUCCCAUCCCCUGCAGACCUGUCCUCCUGACAGGGUCCAAUGUGCAAGGGUUUGGGGCACAGUUGGAGUGUCCUGACGGAUGUAGUCACUCUCAGGGGAUGUCAGUCCACGGACACAGAUGCAGCAAGGUCCCUGGAGCCCUGCCGGCCUCCCUGCAUACCCUCUGCGCUCUGAGGAAUGCUCUCUGCCGGGAUGGGGCACCUCGGGCAUGGCAUGGGAGGCCUCUAAUGUGGCCCAAGAUGUUUAAACAGAGUCCUACAGGCCCCAGCCUGAAUUGGGCCCUUGGACGAGGUCCCCAACACACACACACCAGAGCCCCAGCAAUUCACAAGCCGUGUGACCUUGGACGACGUCCCCAACACACACACCAGAGCCCCCAACACACACACACACACCAGAGCCCCCAAAACACACACACCAGACCCCAACACACACACCAGACUGUUGACUUUUUCCUUCUGCCCUCAGUCCCCCCAUCUGUAAAAUGUGGCUGCUCACAGCCCCCUACUCUGAUUCUACAUUGAGGCCUGUAGUAUGCAGCCCUAAGACAGCCUCCAAAGAAUCCACCUGCAGCUACUCACACCCUCCUUUGGUACCCAAAGGAGAACAAAGGAUAGGGACAGAACCAAGUGGCUCACUUGUAACAAAUGGAUAGAAUAGAAGUGACAGGCAUGGGAUGUCCCUUCCAAGGUUAGGCUCCAAAAAAGUGGGUUCCACUGGGCUCUGCACCUUGAACUCUCUCUCCCAGAGCCCUCUUUUUGGGUGGUCAGCUGUCAUGCCAUGAGCUACCCUGCGGAGAGGCCCACCCAGUGAGCAACUGACACCGCCAGCCAACACGUGAACCUACUACCAGCCACCUGAGUGAGCUGGGAAGUGUAUCCUCUCCAGCAGAGCCUUGAGAAUGACCACAGUCUCAGCCAAUGCUUUGACUGCAGCCUCCUGAGAGAGCCCAAGCCAGGAGACCCAACAAAGCCACACCAUGACUUACACCUUUCUGACUCACAGAAAGGGUUAAACGCUUGUUUUAAGCUGCUGACUUGUGGGGUACCUUGUUACACAGCACCAGCUAGCUAAUACAAAGCCUCAGGGCAGUGCUAGAGAUUCUGGGAGAGGGAGGAUCUUGGAGAUUGUGCAUCUGGACAUCCCUCUACUCUACCCUCAGGGAACGAGCCUCUGACCUUGGCCUGCACACCCCAGUGAUGGGGAGCUCCCUGCUUACUGAGGCCAGCAAAUCUGCUGUGGAGCCAGGCUGCCUGGGAAGGUCUUCCCUCUGCCUCCUGCUUCCUCUUCCUACUGGUGCCAGCAUGGCUCUGGGGGUUCCCUGGCACCAGCCCCAUCCUUCAGGGAUGUGUGGGUUCCCCCAGAGUGAGCUGGCGUCUGGAUCAGGCUUCUCUGCAUCACAGUUUCAUCCCCUUUUCUGCUUUUUUCUGCUUCAGGGGAGAGUUGUUGGGAGGCAAGUGAGGGCUCGGGCCCAGCCCUGCCAUUCAGUGUGCACCUGGCAGAGAGGACCCCAGGAUGCACCAAUCUUCACUCAGCCUUAGCUCAAAGUCACCAUCUCCACCCGCCUCAGUUUACUCAUCUGCUACAUGGAGAUUUCUGUGAGGACAUGAAACACUGCAUGUAACAACACUUGGCACACAGAAAGCACUCAAGAAAUGUAUGUCUAUUGAGUCGGGAGAAAACAUAUUCAAAGCGGGGCCGCGGAGAUGCUUGAGGGAAUUUUUACUUUGUCUUUAGCAAAAUAUCUUGCUGGGCCAUCUAGAUGGAUGCAGAUGGGGAGGGGACGAGGCAGUGGGGGUGUGUGUGUGUUUCUUGGGGGGGCUCUGUCUGUUGGGGGGCUCUGGUGUGUGUGUUGGGGGCUCUGGUGUGUGUGUUGGAGGCUCUGGUUUGCGUGUUGGGGGCUCUGUGUUGGAGGCUCUGGUGUGUGUGUGUGUGUUGGGGGCUCUGGUUGUGUGUGUGUGUGUGUUGGCGGCUCUGGUGUGUGUCUUGGGAGGCUCUGGUGUGUGUGUGUGUGUGUUGGCGGCUCUGGUGUGUGUGAGUGCUGAGAGCUCUGAUGUGUGUGUGUGUUGGGGGCUCUGGUGUGUAUGUUGGGGGCUCUGGUGUGUG